rnacentral:rRNA from 1 species
AGCGUACACGGUGGAUGCCCUGGCAGUCAGAGGCGAUGAAGGACGUGCUAAUCUGCGAUAAGCGUCGGUAAGGUGAUAUGAACCGUUAUAACCGGCGAUUUCCGAAUGGGGAAACCCAGUGUGUUUCGACACACUAUCAUUAACUGAAUCCAUAGGUUAAUGAGGCGAACCGGGGGAACUGAAACAUCUAAGUACCCCGAGGAAAAGAAAUCAACCGAGAUUCCCCCAGUAGCGGCGAGCGAACGGGGAGCAGCCCAGAGCCUGAAUCAGUGUGUGUGUUAGUGGAAGCGUCUGGAAAGGCGCGCGAUACAGGGUGACAGCCCCGUACACAAAAAUGCACAUACUGUGAGCUCGAUGAGUAGGGCGGGACACGUGGUAUCCUGUCUGAAUAUGGGGGGACCAUCCUCCAAGGCUAAAUACUCCUGACUGACCGAUAGUGAACCAGUACCGUGAGGGAAAGGCGAAAAGAACCCCGGCGAGGGGAGUGAAAAAGAACCUGAAACCGUGUACGUACAAGCAGUGGGAGCACGCUUAGGCGUGUGACUGCGUACCUUUUGUAUAAUGGGUCAGCGACUUAUAUUCUGUAGCAAGGUUAACCGAAUAGGGGAGCCGAAGGGAAACCGAGUCUUAACUGGGCGUUAAGUUGCAGGGUAUAGACCCGAAACCCGGUGAUCUAGCCAUGGGCAGGUUGAAGGUUGGGUAACACUAACUGGAGGACCGAACCGACUAAUGUUGAAAAAUUAGCGGAUGACUUGUGGCUGGGGGUGAAAGGCCAAUCAAACCGGGAGAUAGCUGGUUCUCCCCGAAAGCUAUUUAGGUAGCGCCUCGUGAAUUCAUCUCCGGGGGUAGAGCACUGUUUCGGCAAGGGGGUCAUCCCGACUUACCAACCCGAUGCAAACUGCGAAUACCGGAGAAUGUUAUCACGGGAGACACACGGCGGGUGCUAACGUCCGUCGUGAAGAGGGAAACAACCCAGACCGCCAGCUAAGGUCCCAAAGUCAUGGUUAAGUGGGAAACGAUGUGGGAAGGCCCAGACAGCCAGGAUGUUGGCUUAGAAGCAGCCAUCAUUUAAAGAAAGCGUAAUAGCUCACUGGUCGAGUCGGCCUGCGCGGAAGAUGUAACGGGGCUAAACCAUGCACCGAAGCUGCGGCAGCGACACUAUGUGUUGUUGGGUAGGGGAGCGUUCUGUAAGCCUGCGAAGGUGUGCUGUGAGGCAUGCUGGAGGUAUCAGAAGUGCGAAUGCUGACAUAAGUAACGAUAAAGCGGGUGAAAAGCCCGCUCGCCGGAAGACCAAGGGUUCCUGUCCAACGUUAAUCGGGGCAGGGUGAGUCGACCCCUAAGGCGAGGCCGAAAGGCGUAGUCGAUGGGAAACAGGUUAAUAUUCCUGUACUUGGUGUUACUGCGAAGGGGGGACGGAGAAGGCUAUGUUGGCCGGGCGACGGUUGUCCCGGUUUAAGCGUGUAGGCUGGUUUUCCAGGCAAAUCCGGAAAACCAAGGCUGAGGCGUGAUGACGAGGCACUACGGUGCUGAAGCGACAAAUGCCCUGCUUCCAGGAAAAGCCUCUAAGCAUCAGGUAACAUCAAAUCGUACCCCAAACCGACACAGGUGGUCAGGUAGAGAAUACCAAGGCGCUUGAGAGAACUCGGGUGAAGGAACUAGGCAAAAUGGUGCCGUAACUUCGGGAGAAGGCACGCUGAUAUGUAGGUGAAGCGACUUGCUCGUGGAGCUGAAAUCAGUCGAAGAUACCAGCUGGCUGCAACUGUUUAUUAAAAACACAGCACUGUGCAAACACGAAAGUGGACGUAUACGGUGUGACGCCUGCCCGGUGCCGGAAGGUUAAUUGAUGGGGUCAGCGCAAGCGAAGCUCUUGAUCGAAGCCCCGGUAAACGGCGGCCGUAACUAUAACGGUCCUAAGGUAGCGAAAUUCCUUGUCGGGUAAGUUCCGACCUGCACGAAUGGCGUAAUGAUGGCCAGGCUGUCUCCACCCGAGACUCAGUGAAAUUGAACUCGCUGUGAAGAUGCAGUGUACCCGCGGCAAGACGGAAAGACCCCGUGAACCUUUACUAUAGCUUGACACUGAACAUUGAGCCUUGAUGUGUAGGAUAGGUGGGAGGCUUUGAAGUGUGGACGCCAGUCUGCAUGGAGCCGACCUUGAAAUACCACCCUUUAAUGUUUGAUGUUCUAACGUUGACCCGUAAUCCGGGUUGCGGACAGUGUCUGGUGGGUAGUUUGACUGGGGCGGUCUCCUCCUAAAGAGUAACGGAGGAGCACGAAGGUUGGCUAAUCCUGGUCGGACAUCAGGAGGUUAGUGCAAUGGCAUAAGCCAGCUUGACUGCGAGCGUGACGGCGCGAGCAGGUGCGAAAGCAGGUCAUAGUGAUCCGGUGGUUCUGAAUGGAAGGGCCAUCGCUCAACGGAUAAAAGGUACUCCGGGGAUAACAGGCUGAUACCGCCCAAGAGUUCAUAUCGACGGCGGUGUUUGGCACCUCGAUGUCGGCUCAUCACAUCCUGGGGCUGAAGUAGGUCCCAAGGGUAUGGCUGUUCGCCAUUUAAAGUGGUACGCGAGCUGGGUUUAGAACGUCGUGAGACAGUUCGGUCCCUAUCUGCCGUGGGCGCUGGAGAACUGAGGGGGGCUGCUCCUAGUACGAGAGGACCGGAGUGGACGCAUCACUGGUGUUCGGGUUGUCAUGCCAAUGGCACUGCCCGGUAGCUAAAUGCGGAAGAGAUAAGUGCUGAAAGCAUCUAAGCACGAAACUUGCCCCGAGAUGAGUUCU